GAUGAACGCUGGCGGCGUGCCUAAUACAUGCAAGUCGAGCGAACAGACGAGGAGCUUGCUCCUCUGACGUUAGCGGCGGACGGGUGAGUAACACGUGGAUAACCUACCUAUAAGACUGGGAUAACUUCGGGAAACCGGAGCUAAUACCGGAUAAUAUAUUGAACCGCAUGGUUCAAUAGUGAAAGACGGUUUUGCUGUCACUUAUAGAUGGAUCCGCGCCGCAUUAGCUAGUUGGUAAGGUAACGGCUUACCAAGGCGACGAUGCGUAGCCGACCUGAGAGGGUGAUCGGCCACAUGGGAACUGAGACACGGUCCAGACUCCUACGGGAGGCCGCAGUAGGGAAUCUUCCGCAAUGGGCGAAAGCCUGACGGAGCAACGCCGCGUGAGUGAUGAAGGUCUUCGGAUCGUAAAACUCGGUUAUGAGGGAAGAACAAAUGUGUAAGUAACUAUGCACGUCUUGACGGUACCUAAUCAGAAAGCCACGGCUAACUACGUG
rnacentral:rRNA from 1 species